AACGGUGAUGGGGAGCUUGCUCCUCUGAUCAGUGGCGAACGGGUGAGUAACACGUGAGUAACCUGCCCUUCACUCUGGGAUAACUCCGGGAAACCGGGGCUAAUACUGCAUAUAACCUACUCCGGCAUCCGAACUGGGUGGAAAGAUUUAUUGGUGGGGGAUGGACUCGCGGCCUAUCCGCUUGUUGGUGAGGUAAUGGCUCACCAAGGCGACGACGGGUAGCCGGCCUGAGAGGGCGAUCGGCCACCCUGGGACUGAGACACGGCCCAGACUCUACGGGAGGCCGCAGUGGGGAAUAUUGCACAAUGGGCGAAAGCCUGAUGCAGCCACCCCCGUGAGGAUUAAGGACUUCCGGUUGUAAACCUCUUUCAGCGGGAAGAAGCGAAAGUGACGGUACCUGCCGAAGAAGCACCGGCCAACUACGUGCCAGCCGCCGCCGUAAUACGUAGGGCGCAACCGUUGUCCCGAAUUAUUGGGCGUAAAGAGCUUGUACGCCGUUUGUCCCGCCUGCUGUGAAAUUUCGGGCCCAACCCCCAACCUGCGCGGGUACCGGCACACUACAGUGUGGUAGGGGAGACCUGCAAUUCCCGGUGCCCGCCGUGCAAAUGCGCCGAUAUCCGGAGGAAACCCCCACGGCCAAGGCCGGUCUCCGGGCCCCUACUGACCCUGACAAGCGAACGUCUGGCGAGCGAACCGGAUUACAUAUCCCUGGUAGUCCUCUGCCGUUAAACGGUGGGCAACUAGGUGGGGGGCCUCCCUCCCCCCGAGGGCCCGUGGCGCCCCCC
rnacentral:rRNA from 1 species